UACAGAGGAUGCAAGCGUUAUCCGGAAUGAUUGGGCGUAAAGCGUCUGUAGGUGGCUUUUUAAGUCCGCCGUCAAAUCCCAGGGCUCAACUCUGGACAGGCGGUGGAAACUACCAAGCUGGAGUACGGUAGGGGCAGAGGGAAUUUCCGGUGGAGCGGUGAAAUGCGUAGAUAUCAAGAGGAACACCAGUGGCGAAGGCGAGUCCCUGGACAACACCUGACACUGAGGCACGAAAGCUAGGGGAGCAAACAGG
rnacentral:rRNA from 1 species